AGAGUUUGAUCCUGGCUCAGGAUGAACGCUAGCGGCAGGCUUAAUACAUGCAAGUCGUGGGGCAGCAGCUCUGUAGCAAUACAGAGGCUGGCGACCGGCAAACGGGUGCGGAACACGUACGCAACUUACCCAUAACUGAUGAAUAGCCCUCCGAAAGGAGGAUUAAUACAUCGUAACAUAAUGAAAGGGCAUCCUUUUAUUAUUAUAGCUCCGGCGGUUUUGGAUGGGCGUGCGGCUGAUUAGGUAGUUGGCGGAGUAAUAGCCCACCAAGCCAACGAUCAGUAACUGGUGUGAGAGCACGACCAGUCACACGGGCACUGAGACACGGGCCCGACUCCUACGGGAGGCAGCAGUAAGGAAUAUUGGUCAAUGGACGCAAGUCUGAACCAGCCAUGCCGCGUGAAGGAUGAAGGUCCUCUGGAUUGUAAACUUCUUUUAUAUGGGACGAAACCCUUUUAUGCUUAAAAGACUGACGGUACCAUACGAAUAAGCACCGGCUAACUCCGUGCCAGCAGCCGCGGUAAUACAGAGGGUGCAAGCGUUAUCCGGAUUCACUGGGUUUACAAAGGUGCGUAUGUGGGUCUGGUAAGUCCGUGGUGAAAUCUCCAUGCUUAACCUGGAAACUGCCAUGGAUACUAUAGGUCUUGAGUACCGUGGANGUGAGCGGAAUAUGUCAUGUAGCGGUGAACUGCUCAGAUAUGACAUAAAACACCAAUUGCGAAAGCAGCUCACUACACGAAUAUUGACACUGAGGCUCCAAAAGCGUGCGGGAUCAAACANGAAUGAGAUAACACUGGUGAU
rnacentral:rRNA from 1 species